ensembl:lncRNA
CGCGCAAGGAGCACUGCAGAAUUCACCGUCCGGUUUAUUCCGCUUUUUCUUGUAUAUUUUCGCCGAGCUGCCGGACAGAGUCAAAUGCUCGGGGACAUUAAACGGGGCCAAAAGGGAUCAUUAAGUCAUCAGUGUCAGUCUGACCAGUUAGUUGCCUUUCAUGCCUUUUGAACAGUGGCGACAGAUACCAGGAUCAUAUAUAAUAUACACGUCAUAUGUAAACGCCCUGCAUUAACCGCCAUUUGUAUGAGGCCCUUAAGACCAUCUCGCUACCAAUAAUAACUGCCUGCAAGGCCGAGGCAGCUAAGUCCCCUGUAAGCCACCAAUAUCAAGGCUCCUGACGGGCCUGUGGGAAAAUUCUCUUCAGAGUCUCAGGUCAACAUAAAGUGGCAGAGAUCCACCGCCAUGCCGACAAAAAACGCCAGCUGCAGCAGGUGCUUCACUGGAGGCCACUGUGCCUGUGCUCAACCUCGC